rnacentral:rRNA from 1 species
AACGAACGCUGGCGGCAGGCUUAACACAUGCAAGUCGAGCGAAGACUUCGGUCUUAGCGGCGGACGGGUGAGUAACGCGUGGGAACGUGCCCUUUCUUUCGGAAUAGCCCAUGGAAACGUGGAUUAAUGCCGGAUACGCCCUUCGGGGGAAAGAUUUAUCGGGGAAGGAUCGGCCCGCGUUGGAUUAGGUAGUUGGUGGGGUAACGGCCUACCAAGCCGACGAUCCAUAGCUGGUUUGAGAGGAUGAUCAGCCACACUGGGACUGAGACACGGCCCAGACUCCUACGGGAGGCAGCAGUGGGGAAUCUUAGACAAUGGGGCAACCCUGAUCUAGCCAUGCCGCGUGAGUGACGAAGGCCCUAGGGUCGUAAAGCUCUUUCGCCAGGGAUGAUAAUGACAGUACCUGGUAAAGAACCCCGGUAACUCCGUG